rnacentral:rRNA from 1 species
CCCAGACUCCUACGGGAGGCAGCAGUGGGGAAUAUUGCACAAUGGGGGGAACCCUGAUGCAGCGACGCCGCGUGGGUGAAGGAGCACCUCGGUGCGUAAAGCCCUAUCGGCAGGGAAGAAAAGCGAACAGGUUCGCCUGGACGGUACCUGACUAAGAAGCCCCGGCUAACUACGUGCCAGCAGCCGCGGUAAUACGUAGGGGGCAAGCGUUAUCCGGAUUCACUGGGUGUAAAGGGAGCGUAGACGGCGAUGCAAGUCUGAAGUGAAAGGCGGGGGCCCAACCCCCGGACUGCUUUGGAAACUGUAUGGCUGGAGUGCAGGAGAGGUAAGUGGAAUUCCUAGUGUAGCGGUGAAAUGCGUAGAUAUUAGGAGGAACACCAGUGGCGAAGGCGGCUUACUGGACUGUAACUGACGUUGAGGCUCGAACGCGUGGGGAGCAAACAGGAUUAGAUACCCCUGUAC